CUUUUUUAUAUAGCACUUUGGGGUUUGCAAAGUGCCUUAAAAUAUUUUCUUGCCUAACUUUCCAACAAGCUUAUGAAGUUGUUACUACAGGGUCUAGUAUAUACAUUUUGCAGAUCACCAAACUGAGGAUAAAAAAAAAAUGUUUUGUGAUUUGCUAGGAUCACAGUGGAAAGAGAACCAAGAGAAGAAUAUGAACCAAAGUGUACCCUGAUUCUAUAUCCAGCAUUGUCUCUACGGUAUCACAUCCCACUGUUGCCACUAUUGUAAAAUGGGGUGACAAACCUUCAACUUGGAGUCAAAGAGCAUCAUAUUAUCACAUGAUCAGUCAAUUAUUUAUCAAGCUCAGGAAGAAGGAAGCUGUGGUUUAUUGUUUAGCCAUCAGCUAGAUCUCCAGCUAUUGAUCAUUAGGUUGAACAAGAUCAAUAGUCCAAAGAAGUGAAGGAGACUACAGGUGCACUGCUACAGAAAGAAACAUGGCUAUGUAAGAGAGAAGUUACAAAAGGAGAGAAAAAAUCAAUUCCAGCAAUGCAAAGGAACAGCCCAAGUGGAGAAAGAAGAAGGAAGACUCAAGAUUCCAGGAAGGAAUAGAGGAUCUGAGAAAAUUCCAAACUGCCAGCUUACUUCUGCUAAAGUAUUGGAGAAAAAUUUUGGACUACCUCACUAGGACAUUGGACAAAAUCCCAACGUUUUGACCAGGCCAAGGGGAUGAUAGGAGGGAUACAGAAGGCCUAAUGGUGUGCUGCCCAGUUUGCAGUAAUGCCCAAACUUGUAGCAGCUGAUCUUCAGAUAUAGAAACAUUUCUGUUGACUCACAUUCUGAUGCCACUCGGAUUUUUCAUUCUUUCACACUUAAUAAAAUAAUUUG
rnacentral:lncRNA from 1 species